CUGCAGCCCACAAUGACAGAAAACCCAGCUGCACUGAACAAAAACCCUCCCACAAGGGCAGAGACAAUCUGCUUUUUUCAAUUAUUCAUAGUCUUAAAGGUCUGAUUUUAUUCCUCAAUUAUAGGCUACUUUAUUUUGUGAUAAUUUAACGACUUCAUGCUGCUGAUAUUCAUGUUAAAUCAAAAUAACAGUUUUGAGUUAAAAUACUGAUGUUGAUUAAACAUUGGACAUUCAUAGUCAAAGACACAAUAUGAGAAAUAAUCUAUGAGAUAAAAAUAUGUUGUUGUACAAUACUGAAGUUGAAAGCACAGAGUUGGAAUCAAUAAUUAUUAAAUAUGUUUCCAGAUUAUUUCUGAACUCAACCCCAAUCAGUUUUCCUCUUGGAAGUGGAGUGGUUAACAGAAACUGGGAAUUAUCAGGCAUAUACAAAAUAUAUCUGUCAAAAUCUGUCUUUCAAUGAAGUUCCAUAGCAAUAAGUGAACUAAAUACUCACGGAAUGAUAUGAAAGACGUGAAUCAUAAGCACAAAACCUGUUGGCAUUGACAGGGCUCAUUAUAUGUGAAUUGAACUUUCUGCAGCUGUGUACGUUUUAGUAAUUAGUAUCCUCAUAUUCAUUUAGAUGAUAUAUGUUUGUGUGAAGGAAAGAUAGACAUGUUAACAUGUCGGCAAACUUCUACCAGUGACACUCACUCAGAGUGGUGUUUGUAAGGUUUUGCAUGACCUUUAGGUAAGUAGCUCAUAGUUUUAGACCAAAAUUAUAGUGCUUUAAAACACCAGGACAGUUUCUGUUCUUUUUUUAAAUGAAGUAAGAAUGAGUGUGUUCAUCUACCUGUUUACUGAGUUGAAAUAUAAUGUCAGGGCAAAUUAAUUGUGUGUCUCUGUGUGUGUUAUGCAAAAGAUUGACCACAUGGUGGCAAUAUAGGCUUAGUUUGAGCAUUGAUUUAUUGUACAUCAGUGGGCAUGAUUAUACUCCAUCAGUUAAAAUCAUUAUGAAUUUAUUCCAAGUAAAAGGUGAAUGAUAUGUUAAUUAUGCCACAUUACUUUGAAGCUUAUACAAAAAUAUAAGAUAGACACUGGUCCAGUGACUCACCCAGAUCACGUGUUUCCAAGUAAGAUGGGCGGAGUUGAAUAUGUGACAACCGGUGAGAGAAAAGACUAGGGAUAGUUUUGUACUCUCUGCUGUAGUCUACUGAUAACAAAGAGAAGCUUAGAGAAAGCAUGAUUCUUUGGGUUGGAAAAAGUUUUAUACUUGUCUUUUGCAUACUUGAAUGCAGAGGACAGGACACUGUUAAUCAGACUCAAAGGGAGGUGAUUCAUGUUGAAGGAAGAUCAGUGACUCUCAAAUGUGAAUACACAACAACUAGAUCACUACAGGAGCUCUACUGGUACAUAAAAAGAUCAAAGGACUUCCCCAAACUUAUUCUCAAAAGAGAUAAUUUUGGAAUUGGGGAAAAUGGCACAGAGUUCAAUGAGAGAUUUCACUCUGAACUAGAUUCCUCCUCAAAUUCAGUUCCUCUGACCAUCCAGAAUCUGCAAGUGUCUGACUCUGCUGUGUACUACUGUGCUCUGAGGCUCACAGUGACAGCUGCACCCUCAGUGCAUGUACAAAAACUACAGAUUUCACACAAGCAUCUUCCUCUGUCCUCUACACAAUACCAUAAUGGAUUAGCCUAACUCUAACCCUAAACUUACCCAAGUACAACAAUGCCCUUACAUCCAGGGUCACUUGUCCCAUUUAACUCAUUGAGUGCCAAAAACUUAAUAUUACGUUUUUCCUUCCCAUGCGU